UGUCACUAGUCACCCCCUCCCUCUCUCUGUCACUAGUCACCCCCUCCCUCACUCUGUCACUAGAGUGAGGGGGUGACUAGUGACAGAGUGAGGGGGUGACGGAGUGAGGGGGUGACAGGUGACAGAGUGAGGGAGGGAGUGGGUGACCAGUGACAGAGGGAGGGGGUGACACAGUGACAGAGUGAGGGAGGUGGUGACUGUCACUAGUCACCACCUCCCUCACUCUGUCCCUAGUCACCCCUCCCUCUGUCACUAGUCACCCCUUCCCUCCCUAACUCUGUCACUAGUCACCACUUCCCUCCCUCACUCUGUCACCAGUCACCCCCUCCCUCAUUGUCACUAGAGUGAGGG
rnacentral:sRNA from 1 species